rnacentral:rRNA from 1 species
AUAAAAUACCCUGGUAGUCCACGCCGUAAACGAUGGAUACUAGGUGUGGGGGGACUGACCCCCUCCGUGCCGCAGUUAACACAAUAAGUAUCCCACCUGGGGAGUACGAUCGCAAGGUUGAAACUCAAAGGAAUUGACGGGGGCCCGCACAAGCGGUGGAGUAUGUGGUUUAAUUCGAGGCAACGCGAAGACCCUUACCAGGGCUUGACAUCCUGCUAACGAAGUAGAGAUACAUUAGGUGCCCUUCGGGGAAAGCAGAGACAGGUGGUGCAUGGUUGUCGUCAGCUCGUGUCGUGAGAUGUUGGGUUAAGUCCCGCAACGAGCGCAACCCUUAUUGUUAGUUGCUACGCAAGAGCACUCUAGCGAGACUGCCGUUGACAAAACGGAGGAAGGUGGGGACGACGUCAAAUCAUCAUGCCCCUUAUGUCCUGGGCCACACACGUACUACAAUGGCGGUCAACAGAGGGAAGCAAUAUCGCGAGAUGGAGCAAAUCCCUAAAAGCCGUCCCAGUUCGGAUUGCAGGCUGAAACCCGCCUGUAUGAAGUUGGAAUCGCUAGUAAUCGCGGAUCAGCAUGCCGCGGUGAAUACGUUCCCGGGCCUUGUACACACCGCCCGUCACACCAUGAGAGUCGGGAACACCCGAAGUCCGUAGCCUAACAGCAAUGGGGGCGCGGCCGAAGGUGGGUUCGAUAAUUGGGGUGAAGUCGU